GGAUCAUUAUCGUUGGGCUUCGGCCCAUUCGAGAUAACACCCUUGCCUUUUUGAGUACCUUUUCGUUUCCUCGGCAGGCUCGCCUGCCAACGGGGACCCCAAAAACGCUUUGUAAUACCUGUCAUUGUCUGAUAUAACAAGCAAAAAUUAAAACUUUCAACAACGGAUCUCUUGGUUCUGGCAUCGAUGAAGAACGCAGCGAAAUGCGAUAAGUAGUGUGAAUUGCAGAAUUCAGUGAAUCAUCGAAUCUUUGAACGCACAUUGCGCCCUUUGGUAUUCCUUAGGGCAUGCCUGUUCGAGCGUCAUUUAAACCUUCAAGCUCAGCUUGGUGAUGGGUGACUGUCCUCCCCUCGCGGGGGGACUCGCCUCAAAAACAUUGGCGGCCGGUACAUUGGCUUCGAGCGCAGCAGAAACGCGGUCUCGAGCCCGGUGGAUCGGCUCCCAUAAGCCUCUUCUUUUAUUUUGACCUCGGAUCAGGUAGGGAUACCCGCUGAACUUAAGCAUAUCAAUAAGCGGAGGAAAAGAAACCAACAGGGAUUGCCCUAGUAACGGCGAGUGAAGCGGCAACAGCUCAAAUUUGAAAUCUGGCCCUUUCAGGGUCCGAGUUGUAAUUUGUAGAGGGUGCUUUGGCGUUGGCUGUGGUCUAAGUUCCUUGGAACAGGACGUCGCAGAGGGUGAGAAUCCCGUAUGUGGCCGCCAGUCUUCGCCGUGUAAAGCCCCUUCGACGAGUCGAGUUGUUUGGGAAUGCAGCUCUAAAUGGGAGGUAAAUUUCUUCUAAAGCUAAAUAUUGGCCAGAGACCGAUAGCGCACAAGUAGAGUGAUCGAAAGAUGAAAAGCACUUUGGAAAGAGAGUCAAAAAGCACGUGAAAUUGUUGAAAGGGAAGCGCUUGCAGCCAGACUUGCCUGUAGUUGCUCAUCCGGGCUUUUGCCCGGUGCACUCUUCUAUGGGCAGGCCAGCAUCAGUCCCAGCGGUUGGAUAAAUGCCUGUUGAAUGUACCUCUCUUCGGGGAGGACUUAUAGCCUCGGGCGGCAUACAACCAGCCGGGAUUGAGGUCCGCGCAUC
rnacentral:rRNA from 1 species